AAGGGUAUAGCUCAAGUGGUAGAGCACACGCUUAGCAUGCGCGAGGUCCUGGGUUCUACCCCAGUACCUCCU
rnacentral:tRNA from 1 species